rnacentral:antisense_RNA from 1 species
GUGGGAGGGGGCUUGCCCCCGAUAGCAGUGGUUCAGCUAGCUUAUAUAUAGCUGGCCCACCGCAAUCGGGAGCAAGCCCCCUCCCAC